GACGAACGCUGGCGGCGUGCUUAACACAUGCAAGUCGAACGAUGAACCCGGAGCUUGCUCCGGCGGAUUAGUGGCGAACGGGUGAGUAACACGUGAGUAACCUGCCCUUGACUCUGGGAUAACUGCUAGAAAUGGUAGCUAAUACCGGAUACGACCCUCGGCGGCAUCGCCAGGGGGUGGAAAGAAUUUCGGUCAAGGAUGGACUCGCGGCCUAUCAGCUAGUUGGUGAGGUAACGGCACACCAAGGCGACGACGGGUAGCCGGCCUGAGAGGGGGACCGGCCAUACUGGGACGGAGACACAGCCCAGCCUCCUACGGGAGGCAGCAGUGGGGAAUAUUGCACGAGGGGGGCAAGCCUGAUGCAGCAACACCGCGUGAGGGAUGACGGCCUUCGGGUUGUAAGCCUCUUUUGGUAGGGAAGAAGCGAAAGUGACGGUACCUGCAGAAAAAGCACCGGCUAACUACGUGCCAGCAGCCGCCGUAA
rnacentral:rRNA from 1 species